rnacentral:lncRNA from 1 species
UGCAAACGUUUUAUUUGGCUUAGGGCUGCAGGUUUUCUUAGGUGUAGCCUUCACUCUUGGCGUUGUGGCGAGAAUCCAUCUCCUUGGCUUAGUGUAGGAAUAACUUGGCAUAUCCUGUUGAUGUUGAGCUGCAGCUUCCUUCACAAACUCCUCAUAGAUUUCUAACUUGAAACUUCCCCAUGUAUGAGCUGGUUCAUUGUAC